rnacentral:rRNA from 1 species
UAGGGAAUAUUGGACAAUGGGGGCAACCCUGAUCCAGCCAUGCCGCGUGAGUGAAGAAGGCCCUCGGGUUGUAAAGCUCUUUUGUCCGGAAAGAAAAGCUUCGGGUUAAUACCCCGGGGUUCUGACGGUACCGGAAGAAUAAGCACCGGCUAACUUCGUGCCAGCAGCCGCGGUAAUACGAAGGGUGCAAGCGUUACUCGGAAUUACUGGGCGUAAAGCGUGCGUAGGUGGUUGUUUAAGUCUGAUGUGAAAGCCCUGGGCUCAACCUGGGAAUGGCAUUGGAAACUGGGCAGCUAGAGUGCGGUAGAGGGUAGUGGAAUCCCCGGUGUAGCAGUGAAAUGCGUAGAGAUCGGGAGGAACAUCUGUGGCGAAGGCGACUGCCUGGACCAGCACUGACACUGAGGCACGAAAGCGUGGGGAGCAAACA